GCGGGAGGAAGCGGCGGGAGUCGGGACUGCGGCGGAGCCGCUCCCACAGCGCCCUCUAAUGAAAGCGCCGCCGCCGCUGCCUGGCCCGCUUGCCCCGCCUGGCCCGCUCCCCCUACCCCUGCGCCAGCGAGUCGGGGCCCUCGGGGCUACCUGGACGCUCGGCCAGGACCUCAGAAAGCAGCUGGAACAUUAAUGGCAAUUCCACUUUCCCAUUCAUCGCCCCCGCCCCCACCACCCCACCAAGAAACUCAGUGGGAAUGAAUGGUCUACACAGAGAAACUGAAAUCUGGUUAGUCAAGAAGGAAAAAACAACCAAGUGCCUGGCAUUAAGAGGAUUUUUUUUUUAAGCUCAGCCUAUGGACAACAAAAGCAUGGACUGUAUUUCUCAGCAUCUUUUGCAGGAUGAGGAAACUGGAGCCCAGGUAGCCAUUUUGGACCUGAAGGUGGAAGUCAAGCUAGGGAGAGCAAACAACACGUGUGUGGAUCCCUGAUGAUCAGGUCAUCCUAAUCCUGAACUGCUUUCCUCUGGUCUCUUUAACAGGAGAGACCAGAGGAAAACCAUGAGAGAGAGGUAAUUUUCUAUCCCACUUAAGCCACUAUUGUACUUUGGACUUUCUUGUCAUGUACAGCCAAGCCUAAUUAUAACUAAUAAAACAUGCAAUUGAAAGACAAAAAUGCAAGGGUUUAUGCAUCAGGUACCAUUCUGGUUGCAUCUCUUACAAACUCUAUGUGGUAAUGGAUUAGU
rnacentral:lncRNA from 1 species